UACAGAGGGGGCAAGCGUUAUUCGGAAUUAUUGGGCGUAAAGGGCGCGUAGGCGGCUUGGCAAGUGGAUGGUGAAAUCCCUCGGCUUAACCGAGGAACUGCCGUCCAAACUGCUUCGCUUGAGACCGGGAGAGGUGAGUGGAAUUCCCAGUGUAGCGGUGAAAUGCGUAGAUAUUGGGAGGAACACCAGUGGCGAAGGCGGCGAUCUGGCCCAACAUUGACACUGAGACUCGAAAGUGCGGGGAUCAAACAGG
rnacentral:rRNA from 1 species